rnacentral:rRNA from 1 species
AUACGUAGGGUGCGAGCGUUAAUCGGAAUUACUGGGCGUAAAGCGUGCGUAGGUGGUUGGGUAAGUCAGAUGUGAAAGCCCCGGGCUUAACCUGGGAACUGCAUUUGAUACUGCCUAGCUAGAGUUUGGUAGAGGGAAGUGGAAUUCCAGGUGUAGCGGUGAAAUGCGUAGAUAUCUGGAGGAACACCAGUGGCGAAAGCGGCUUCCUGGACCGAAACUGACACUGAGGCACGAAAGCGUGGGGAGCAAACAGGAUUAGAAACCCCGGUAGUCC